rnacentral:rRNA from 1 species
ACGAACGCUGGCGGCGUGGAUUAGGCAUGCAAGUCGUGCGCGAAAGUCUCCUUCGGGGGGCGAGUAGAGCGGCGAACUGGUGAGUACAAGGUGACUGACCUGCCCGGAAGUGGGGGAUAACCGCGGGAAACCGUGGCUAAUACCGCAUGGUCUCUUUCCUCUGGCGAGGAACGAGUAAAGCAGUGAUGUGCUUCCGGAUGGGGUCACCUCCCAUUAGCUAGUUGGUGGGGUAAUGGCCACCAAGGCUUCGAUGGGUAGCUGGACUGAGAGGUUGACCAGCCACACUGGGACUGAGAUACGGCCCAGACUCCUACGGGGGGCAGCAGUCUAGAGGCUUCGGCAAUGGACGAAAGUCUGACCGAGCGACGCCGCGUGCGGGAUGAAGGGCUUCGGC